rnacentral:lncRNA from 1 species
UUUUCAUCAUUCCCACAAUUCAAUCAAAUUUCAUUGGUUUAACAUUAUCAUUUCUAUAAACCCACAAUUCAAUCAAAUUUCAUGGGUUUAACAUCAACAUUUUCAUCUUUCCCACAAUUCAAUCAAAUUUCAUGGGUUUAACAUCAUCAUUUCUAUAAUUCCCACAAUUCAAUCAAAUUUCAUGGGUUUAACAUCAACAUUUUCUUCAUUCCCACAAUUCAAUCAAAUUUCAUGCGUUUAACAUCAUCAUUCUUAUAAUUCCCAAAUUCAAUCAAAUUUCAUGGUUUUAACAUCAUCAUUUUCAUCAUUGCCAUAAUUCAAU